rnacentral:rRNA from 1 species
UACGUAGGGGGCAAGCGUUGUCCGGAUUUAUUGGGCGUAAAGAGCGUGUAGGCGGCUUUACAGGUCCGUUGUGAAAACUCGAGGCUCAACCUCGAGACGCCGGGUGGAAACCGUAAGGCUAGAGUCCGGAAGAGGAGAGUGGAAUUCCUGGUGUAGCGGUGAAAUGCGCAGAUAUCAGGAAGAACACCCGUGGCGAAGGCGGCUCUCUGGGACGGUACUGACGCUGGAGA